UACGUAGGGUGCAAGCGUUAUCCGGAAUUAUUGGGCGUAAAGAGCUCGUAGGCGGUUUGUCGCGUCUGCUGUGAAAACUGGAGGCUCAACCUCCAGCCUGCAGUGGGUACGGGCAAACUAGAGUGCGGUAGGGGAGAUUGGAAUUCCUGGUGUAGCGGUGGAAUGCGCAGAUAUCAGGAGGAACGCCGAUGGCGAAGGCAGAUCUCUGGGCCGUAACUGACGCUGAGGAGCGAAAGCAUGGGGAGCGAACAGG
rnacentral:rRNA from 1 species